GACGAACGCUGGCGGCGUGCCUAAUACAUGCAAGUCGAGCGCAGGAAACUGACGGAACUCUUCGGAGGGAAGGCAGUGGAAUGAGCGGCGGACGGGUGAGUAACACGUAAGGAACCUGCCUCAAGGAUUGGGAUAACUCCGAGAAAUCGGAGCUAAUACCGGAUAGUUCAUCGGACCGCAUGGUCCGUUGAUGAAAGGCGCUCCGGCGUCACCUUGAGAUGGCCUUGCGGUGCAUUAGCUAGUUGGUGGGGUAACGGCCCACCAAGGCGACGAUGCAUAGCCGACCUGAGAGGGUGAUCGGCCACACUGGGACUGAGACACGGCCCAGACUCCUACGGGAGGCAGCAGUAGGGAAUCUUCCACAAUGGACGAAAGUCUGAUGGAGCAACGCCGCGUGAGUGAUGAAGGUUUUCGGAUCGUAAAACUCUGUUGUAAGGGAAGAACACGUACGAGAGGGAAUGCUCGUACCUUGACGGUACCUUACGAGAAAGCCACGGCUAACUACGUGCCAGCAGCCGCAGUAAAAC
rnacentral:rRNA from 1 species